CAAAGCGGCGCCUUGUGGACGACAUCGACCCCACACACACACACACACACACACACAAAUUUCCGUUCAGAAUUAAGCUCAAUUUUAUUGGUGAACUUGAGAUCCUUAAUAAUGAAGAAGAUUCCAAGAUGUUGGACUUUGGCUCAGAAGGUUGUAACGUCACGUCCCAGAACCACAAAGUAGAAACUGCUGGGAUCUGGAGCAAGCCUGCCUGACGUUUUCCCCAUGACCAUGUAGUGGCUCGUUCAACCUGGAUAAACUCUUGCUGGGACACGAAUCACAGUUUACUUGUGGAGCCGUGCGAUAGAGCACAUGGAGACGUCAGUGUGAGUGAAGUAAAUCUGCAUACGCAUGGAGGCAUACUUCAACACAUAUUAUAAUACACCUUUUUAUUUUCUUUUUAACUAAGAAUGAGUGGUACUUCAAAGUUUAGUCCCCAGAGGGGCUUUUCAGCUCUUGUUAACCAUAAUCUCCACUUUUGCAUGUUAAACCCUCAGAUUAUUGCUCAUUCAUUUUGUAAACUUGUUAUUCAUUACUUACAAUGAAGUAUUCAGCAAGUGUAAUGAAACGAAUAGAAAAACAAAGUAUGUACAUAGAAGAGUAAAAGAUAAGAAGAGCAAGAGUCUCGGCACACUGACAGUUCCUGGGAAAUUCACUUCCUGUUUAGAUACAAUCGUUUAGAUAGACUAUAACGUUUUCAGUGAAAUCAUUUUACAGCGCUUGAUG